rnacentral:rRNA from 1 species
CAGGCUUAACACAUGCAAGUCCCUUUGAAGCAUCAUCAAAGCUUGCUUUGAUGGAUGGCGACCGGCGCACGGGUGAGUAACACGUAUCCAACCUGCCGACAACACUGGGAUAGCCUUUCGAAAGAAAGAUUAAUACCGGAUGGUAUAGUUUUCCCGCAUGGGAUAAUUAUUAAAGAAUUUCGGUUGUCGAUGGGGAUGCGUUCCAUUAGGCAGUUGGCGGGGUAACGGCCCACCAAACCUACGAUGGAUAGGGGUUCUGAGAGGAAGGUCCCCCACAUUGGAACUGAGACACGGUCCAAACUCCUACGGGAGGCAGCAGUGAGGAAUAUUGGUCAAUGGACGAGAGUCUGAACCAGCCAAGUAGCGUGAAGGAUGACUGCCCUAUGGGUUGUAAACUUCUUUUAUACGGGAAUAAAGUUAGCCACGUGUGGUUUUUUUGUAUGUACCGUAUGAAUAAGGAUCGGCUAACUCCGUGCCAGCAGCCGCGGUAAUACGGAGGAUCCGAGCGUUAUCCGGAUUUAUUGGGUUUAAAGGGAGCGUAGGCGGGUUGUUAAGUCAGUUGUGAAAGUUUGCGGCUCAACCGUAAAAUUGCAGUUGAUACUGGCGACCUUGAGUGCAACAGAGGUAGGCGGAAUUCGUGGUGUAGCGGUGAAAUGCUUAGAUAUCACGAAGAACUCCGAUUGCGAAGGCAGCUUACUGGAUUGUAACUGACGCUGAUGCUCGAAAGUGUGGGUAUCAAACAGGAUUAGAUACCCUGGUAGUCCACACAGUAAACGAUGAAUACUCGCUGUUGGCGAUAUACAGUCAGCGGCCAAGCGAAAGCAUUAAGUAUUCCACCUGGGGAGUACGCCGGCAACGGUGAAACUCAAAGGAAUUGACGGGGGCCCGCACAAGCGGAGGAACAUGUGGUUUAAUUCGAUGAUACGCGAGGAACCUUACCCGGGCUUAAAUUGCAACUGACGGAACCGGAAACGGUUCUUUCUUCGGACAGUUGUGAAGGUGCUGCAUGGUUGUCGUCAGCUCGUGCCGUGAGGUGUCGGCUUAAGUGCCAUAACGAGCGCAACCCUUACGGGUAGUUACCAUCAGGUUAUGCUGGGGACUCUACCCGGACUGCCGUCGUAAGAUGUGAGGAAGGUGGGGAUGACGUCAAAUCAGCACGGCCCUUACGUCCGGGGCUACACACGUGUUACAAUGGGGGGUACAGAAGGCAGCUACACGGCGACGUGGUGCUAAUCCCAAAAGCCUCUCUCAGUUCGGAUUGGAGUCUGCAACCCGACUCCAUGAAGCUGGAUUCGCUAGUAAUCGCGCAUCAGCCACGGCGCGGUGAAUACGUUCCCGGGCCUUGUACACACCGCCCGUCAAGCCAUGAAAGCCGGGGGUACCUGAAGUACGUAACCGCGAGGAGCGUCCUAGGGUAAAACUGGUAA